UACGAGGGGGGCGAGCGUUGUUCGGAAUUAUUGGGCGUAAAGGGUGCGUAGGCGGUUUGGUAAGUCUGAUGUGAAAUCUAUGGGCUCAACUCAUAGUCUGCAUCGGAAACUGCCGGGCUUGAGUAUGGGAGAGGUGAGUGGAAUUCCUGGUGUAGCGGUGAAAUGCGUAGAUAUCAGGAGGAACACCUGUGGCGAAAGCGGCUCACUGGACCAUAACUGACGCUGAUGUACGAAAGCUAGGGGAGCAAACAGG
rnacentral:rRNA from 1 species